AUGAAUCAUUAUUAGUCCUGAAAUUAGUUCCACAUAUGUUGUUAAUACUAAUGGAAAAUAAUUCUUGACACCUGAAUGCAAUGACAAACAGAAGUCAUGUGAUGAGGAACGGGAAUAAACAAUUAAUAUAUAUAUUAUUAAUUAGUUUAUAUUUGUUUAGCGUAGAGACAAAUAAUGUAUUUGUCUAUAUGUUUUAUAUGUGGGGUUAGUAGUUUAUUUAUAAUAAAGCCCAAUUGUUAUGGGCCUUAGUCCAUUAGGUUAUUUAUUAGGGUUUUUAUUCCCUAUAUAAGCAUUGUAAUCCCCACAUUAUUACUUAGCUUUGAUUAUACACCUUUCUUGGGAAUAAUAUUGAUUAUUUAUUCUUGGGAAUCGUAUAAUUCAUUGAUUAUUAUCUUAUAACUGUUUUUAUUGCUUUAAUCACUAUUUUUACAAAAAAAAAAAAAAAAAAAAAAAAAAAAAAUUGGAAAAAUUAAAAAAAAAAAAAAAAAAAAAAAAAAAAAAAAAAAAAAAAAUUGGCAUCAGAGCGAGGUUCCUGAAAAGUAUUACUGUUCACUGGUACUGUUCCUCGGGUACUGUUCACGCCACUGUUCACCUCUGUUUUUCACUGUUCAUCCCCAGAUUUUCAUACCGCUGCCAUCUCUAUACCACUCCGCCGCUGCCCAACUUCAAAACUAUCAAUCCCCACCAGAAAAAAACCACGAAAAAUCUGCCCAAAUCCACAAAUUCUGAACCCUAAUUACAUACCCGACCUGAUUACAAGCCCUAAUUCUCAAAUCAUUAACCCUAAUUGCUUAACACCACAAAUCGCAGAUCAUCACAACUGACUGGAGUUUCAAUCUGCAACAAGAAUCAAGAAGAAUCAGAUUCGAAAAAAAAAAAAAAACACAAGAAGACACGUCUGAAGUGGCCUGACUUUGGAUAUCUAUUGCUAGCCGCCGGAGUCACGCUGCUGCCGGAGUNUGGGAAUAAUAUUGAUUAUUUAUUCUUGGGAAUCGUAUAAUUCAUUGAUUAUUAUCUUAUAACUGUUUUUAUUGCUUUAAUCACUAUUUUUACAAAAAAAAAAAAAAAAAAAAAAAAAAAAAUUGGAAAAAUUUAAAAAAAAAAAAAAAAAAAAAAAAAAAAAAAAAAAAAAAAAUUGGCAUCAGAGCGAGGUUCCUGAAAAGUAUUACUGUUCACUGGUACUGUUCCUCGGGUACUGUUCACGCCACUGUUCACCUCUGUUUUUCACUGUUCAUCCCCAGAUUUUCAUACCGCUGCCAUCUCUAUACCACUCCGCCGCUGCCCAACUUCAAAACUAUCAAUCCCCACCAGAAAAAAACCACGAAAAAUCUGCCCAAAUCCACAAAUUCUGAACCCUAAUUACAUACCCGACCUGAUUACAAGCCCUAAUUCUCAAAUCAUUAACCCUAAUUGCUUAACACCACAAAUCGCAGAUCAUCACAACUGACUGGAGUUUCAAUCUGCAACAAGAAUCAAGAAGAAUCAGAUUGAAAAAAAAAAAAAAACACAAGAAGACACGUCUGAAGUGGCCUGACUUUGGAUAUCUAUUGCUAGCCGCCGGAGUCACGCUGCUGCCGGAGUCUCUGCUGCGGUUACUUGCCGAAAACCGCAUCUGUUCGCUGGAAAUAAGUCUCGUUGUCAAAGGUCACGACAUCUCCUCUGAACAUUAGCUGCUUUCCUACCGUAGGGUUUUUCAGCUUCCAGAAUACUACAAACCAGUUUCUGAUAUUCCAGAAAGUACUGAACAGCCUCUGAAAUUCUCAAUAUCUGCUCCUUCUGAAUUGUUCUUCAAUUUUAACUUUGGUCUUCCAUGUUUUUUUAUAAGCCAUGUCUGCUCACAUCAAGCGACAAAUUGAUAUUGUGAAAGAUAAUAUCUAUUUCAUUAAGCGUGAACGUGAUGAGUUAUACUAUGAAGUCUAUGUCUCAUGCCACGAACGAUGGUUACCUCAAUAUGAGUUUACGUUGAAGGGGUUAGAUGAACAAUAUGAUGAACUUGAAUGGUUGGAAAAGAAGUACUGUAUUGAGUUGAGGAAGGAAAGGUGCAAACGUGCAGAUGAGGAACGAAAACAAACUUUUGAUGAUCUCAUAUCUCAAGUGAAACGUCUUAUGCAUUUAGAGAAUGAGAAAAAGGUCAAACAAACAAAUGAAGUUGAGCAUAUUGAAGGAGUUGUUACGGAAGAUUCAAUUGAGGAAGUUAAACAAGUAACGGAAGAUCCAAUUGAGGCGGUUAAACAAAUUGAGCAUAUAGAGGUUGCAAGUGAGGAGCAACUAAAAGAAACCACGCCACCUUAGUGCUUUUUAAUUGUUGAAGAUCAUAAAGUAGUUGAUGAAAUUAUUGAGAUUGAGCACAUUGACUUCAUUAUUCCGGAGUACUUGUCUAAGUCCCAGUCGCUUGCUUAUCAGUUUUCAAAGUUCUUUGCACCUCGCCCAUGUUUCAUGAAACGCUCGAACUUCAUCUUGGUUCCAUCUCACCAUUCUUGCAUCGUUCUUGAUUUCUACAAAACUCGUGGUCGAGUUUUUUCUAACAAGGGGAGAAUGAUGAGGAACGGGAAUAAACAAUUAAUAUAUAUAUUAUUAAUUAGUUUAUAUUUGUUUAGCGUAGAGACAAAUAAUGUAUUUGUCUAUAUGUUUUAUAUGUGGGGUUAGUAGUUUAUUUAUAAUAAAGCCCAAUUGUUAUGGGCCUUAGUCCAUUAGGUUAUUUAUUAGGGUUUUUAUUCCCUAUAUAAGCAUUGUAAUCCCCACAUUAUUACUUAGCUUUGAUUAUACACCUUUCUUGGGAAUAAUAUUGAUUAUUUAUUCUUGGGAAUCGUAUAAUUCAUUGAUUAUUAUCUUAUAACUGUUUUUAUUGCUUUAAUCACUGUUUUUACAAAUCUGUCCUGCAUCAUCAUGUCUCAAUCAACACUUCUCGAUGUCAGGGGAUGCACAUAAAUUUUAUAGAGAAUAUUGAUUCUGAUGUGAUUUGAUGUUCAAAAAUCAACAAAAAAUCUGAUAGGUGGGCACUUGUCCUAUGUCUGAUAAAUCCAAGUGAUAUUUUUGUUAUGUAUUGAGUGUUGUUAGAAUGCAUAUCAUUUUAGUUAGAAGGUCCUAUCCUUUUUUUAGAUGGUAUUAUGUUUUUUCUUAAACUUCAAAUAUUUUUAAGUAUGGUUUUUGUGUUUUAUUUCACGUUUCUGAGGAAGUUCUAUAUUUGUCAUUCAUGUUUAGUUCUGUGUUUUGUUUGAAUACCAAAGAGAUGUUUAAAUCAACUACCGUAUACGAUUAUCUUAUUUGUGUACUAGUCUCAAAUGUAUGAUGUCAAUUUUAAAUGUUGAUAGGAGUCAAUUUCAAUUAUUAAGCCUUGUUCUUCCAUAUCUGGAGUUUUCAUGCAACUCUAAUUUUGGUUUCCUCAGUUCUUUCAUUAAGAGUUAUGCAGUUCUUAGUUAAACUUUGCCCUAAUGCUUGUUACUUCUGAUAAGCUAUAUUUUUAUGGAUAGUCAAUUUUGAAUAUUCUUUAACAUUGCUUGUCGAAUAACUUUAUUUGUCUGGAUUUCAAAUGUUAAUCUCCUAAUCUCACUCAUUUUGUUGAGUGGUUGCAACUGAUUUGAAAUUCUUUAA
rnacentral:lncRNA from 1 species